rnacentral:rRNA from 1 species
CAGCAGCCGCGGUAAUACGGAGGGUGCAAGCGUUAAUCGGAAUUACUGGGCGUAAAGCGCACGCAGGCGGUCUGUCAAGUCGGAUGUGAAAUCCCCGGGCUCAACCUGGGAACUGCAUCCGAAACUGGCAGGCUAGAGUCUUGUAGAGGGGGGUAGAAUUCCAGGUGUAGCGGUGAAAUGCGUAGAGAUCUGGAGGAAUACCGGUGGCGAAGGCGGCCCCCUGGACAAAGACUGACGCUCAGGUGCGAAAGCGUGGGGAGCAAACAGGAUUAGAUACCCCAGUAGUCCCUGUCUCUUAUAC